rnacentral:rRNA from 1 species
GAUGGAUGGUGUGGUGAGUGUGGUCGAUUGAUUGAUGGGAUUGGUGGUUGCCUUCGGGCGAUUUCUUUCUCGAGAUCGAUGUGUACCGUUUCUUGCCUACCAAACAAUCAUUUCUGUUUUCUUUUCGCCGUCUUGCUCUUUUCGUCGGCUUCGGCUGGCGGAUUGAGUUGGCGGCAUGAAGGGAAAAAGCAAGAAAUCGUUUACUUUGAAAAAAUUAGAGUGUUCAAAGCAGGCAUCAAUCAAGUGCCAUUGAAUAUUGUUAGCAUGGAAUAAUGAGAUAGGGCUUGUGCAUGUAAAUCUGUUGGCUGAAAGAGGAAAGCUGAACAUGCCACAAGUAAUGAUUGAUAGGGACAGUUGGGGGUGCUAGUAUUUAACGGCCAGAGGUGAAAUUCUUGGAUUCGUUAAAGACUAACAAAUGCGAAAGCAUU